rnacentral:sRNA from 1 species
GCCAGGCAUGGUGGUGUACACCUGUAAUCCCAGCUACUUGGGAGGCAGAGGCAGGGGGAUUGCAAAUUUAAAGCCAGCCUCAGCAACUUAGUGAGACUGUGUCUCAA